GCAGUCUGGUACUGUAGCAGUCCAUCAAUGUUGCAGUCCCGAAACUUUCCUUUAAAUCCAUUUUUCUUUCCUUCUCCUUUUUUUUUCUUCAUUUCGACCGAGUGCUCAGACCCUAGAAAAAUUUUUCGGUGAACUUUUACGGCGAAUCGAAACUUCAAACUCUUCUUCUCAUCCUCUUGAGUGCGAAGUUGAGGCGUUAACUCGAGGCAAAGAGUUACCGAGGAUUAGCUUGCGAGGAAGAGAAAUCAUCAAACUUCCUUGCGGUACCCUAAGGGUUAAGUGGUAGAGUAUCUUUCCUUGGGAUUGUCACGAUGGUUAUCGCAACACGUGGGCUCACGGGUCGAGGCGUGAUAGUUGUGAUUGCUUCUCUUGACUUGAAGUACUUUUGAAUGAGAAAUUCCCAAGGCUUCACAUGACAAAACUCAAAGUUUAGUCUCCAUGAGGUUGGGAGACUUGGAAGGCGGAAAAUAUGGUACUAUAUGUACAUAUAUUGUUGGAACAAAUAAACCAUAUAUGGUCUUAGUCCAAGUAUGGUAAAAAAACACAUACAUGUAACUAUUUGGAGACCAUUGGAGUCUCU